CAGCCGCCGCGGUAAUACCGGCGGCCCGAGUGGCGGUCACUAUUAUUGGGCUUAAAGCGUCCGUAGCCGGGGUGGGAAGUCCUCCGGGAAAUCUGGCCGCUUAACGGUCAGAAUGCCGGAGGAUACUCCCAACCUAGGGAGCGGGAGAGGCCGAGGGUAUUCCCGGAGUAGGGGGGAAAUCCUAUAAUCCCGGGAGGACCACCUGUGGCGAAGGCGCUCGGCUGGAACGCGUCCGACGGUGAGGGACGAAGGCCAGGGGAGCAAACCGGAUUAGAUACCCGGGUAGUCCUGGCUGUAAACGAUGCGGACUUUGUGUCGGACAAGCUAUGAGCUUGUCCGGUGCCGGAGGGAAACCGUUAAGUCCGCCGCCUGGGGAGUACGGCCGCAAGGCUGAAACUUAAAGGAAUUGGCGGG
rnacentral:rRNA from 1 species